UACGAAGGGUGCAAGCGUUAGUCGGAAUUACUGGGCGUAAAGCGUGCGCAGGCGGUUUUGUAAGCCAGAUGUGAAAUCCCCGGGCUCAACCUGGGAAUGGCAUUUGGGACUGCAAGGCUGGAGUACGGCAGAGGAGACUGGAAUUCCUGGUGUAGCAGUGAAAUGCGUAGAGAUCAUGAGGAAGACCAGUGGCGAAGGCGGGUCUCUGGACAGUUCCUGACACUGAGGCACGAAGGCCAGGGGAGCAAACGGG
rnacentral:rRNA from 1 species